AUAUCCCUUUAAUUGGACGUACACAAGUCCAUUACCUUUUGUUACCUGAUAAGCGUAUUCGAAAUUGUACAACUCGAGUUCUUGUUAUCUUCUUAAAGAAAAUCAUCCUUCUCUGUCGACGUUUCUCGGAUUUUGUAUCAACAUCCCACCCUCGUCACUGUCCGAAUCAUCUGUGGUGGUAACAUGAAUACAAUUGCACGCCUUUAACGAGGUGAGGAACACAGCCGUGAUGCCGCUAAACAGCCGCAUAGCCACCUUGUUGCUCUUCCUAGACAUGACUUCGGAAUUAUUGAUUGAUAGUGUACGGAAAUUUGAACUGGAUUUGUCACAACGUUCUUUACCGCAGCAUGUACAAGGGUUUGCAUUUUCCUCCAUUUGUUGGAUGAAAUGAAAAAUAUUCUUCUUGAGAGAAUUUUGGUAAGGGUUAACGGGAU
rnacentral:lncRNA from 1 species